rnacentral:rRNA from 1 species
GACGAACGCUGGCGGCGUGCUUAACACAUGCAAGUCGAGCGGUAAGGCCCUUUCGGGGGUACACGAGCGGCGAACGGGUGAGUAACACGUGGGUGACCUGCCCUCAGCUCUGGGAUAAGCCUGGGAAACCGGGUCUAAUACCGGAUACGACUCCAUGACGCAUGUUGUGGGGUGGAAAGCCUUGUGCGGCUGAGGAUGGGCCCGCGGCCUAUCAGCUUGUUGGGUGGGGUGAUGGCCACCAAGGCGACGACGGGUAGCCGGCCUGAGAGGGCGACCGGCCACACUGGGACUGAGACACGGCCCAGACUCCUACGGGAGGCAGCAGUGGGGAAUCUUGCGCAAUGGGCGAAAGCCUGACGCAGCGACGCCGCGUGA